rnacentral:miRNA from 1 species
UGAUGAUGAUGACGAUGAUGAUGACGAUGAUGAUGAAUUCUGGUAUGUAAGUAGUAGUAGUAGUAGUAGUAGUAGUAGUGGGGACAUCCACAUCAUCAUCAUCAUCAUUAGUU